UCACCCGCCGAUCGGAUCCAUCUCUCCCUCCGUUUCGCAGUGGUCCAAGGAAGAACAAUCUGCUGCAAUGGCUACUGCCAAUGAUACCACGUUGCAGGAAUUGGUGGACUGGAAUAUCCGUUACCAGGAGAAUUUUGGGUUUGUGUUCCUCAUCU